rnacentral:miRNA from 1 species
AGCAUCCUCCUCUUAGGAAUUU